AUACUGUGAAACUGCGAAUGGCUCAUUAAAUCAGUUAUCGUUUAUUUGAUAGUACCUUACUACUUGGAUAACCGUGGUAAUUCUAGAGCUAAUACAUGCUAAAAACCCCAACUUCGGGAGGGGUGUAUUUAUUAGAUAAAAAACCAACGCCCUUCGGGGCUUCUUGGUGAUUCAUGAUAACUUUACGGAUCGCAUGGCCUUGCGCCGGCGACGGUUCAUUCAAAUUUCUGCCCUAUCAACUUUCGAUGGUAAGGUAUUGGCUUACCAUGGUUUCAACGGGUAACGGGGAAUUAGGGUUCGAUUCCGGAGAGGGAGCCUGAGAAACGGCUACCACAUCCAAGGAAGGCAGCAGGCGCGCAAAUUACCCAAUCCCGACACGGGGAGGUAGUGACAAUAAAUACUGAUACAGGGCUCUUUUGGGUCUUGUAAUUGGAAUGAGUACAAUUUAAACCUCUUAACGAGGAACAAUUGGAGGGCAAGUCUGGUGCCAGCAGCCGCGGUAAUUCCAGCUCCAAUAGCGUAUAUUAAAGUUGUUGCAGUUAAAAAGCUCGUAGUUGAAACUUGGGUCUGGCUGGCAGGUCCGCCUCACCGCGUGUACUUGUCCGGCCGGGCCUUCCUUCUGGAGAACCUCAUGCCCUUCACUGGGCGUGUUGGGGACCAGGACUUUUACUUUGAAAAAAUUAGAGUGUUCAAAGCAGGCCUUUGCUCGAAUACGUUAGCAUGGAAUAAUAGAAUAGGACGUGCGGUCCUAUUUUGUUGGUUUCUAGGACCGCCGUAAUGAUUAAUAGGGACAGUCGGGGGCAUCAGUAUUCAAUUGUCAGAGGUGAAAUUCUUGGAUUUAUUGAAGACUAACUACUGCGAAAGCAUUUGCCAAGGAUGUUUUCAUUAAUCAGUGAACGAAAGUUAGGGGAUCGAAGACGAUCAGAUACCGUCGUAGUCUUAACCGUAAACUAUGCCGACUAGGGAUCGGGCGAUGUUCUUUUUCUGACUCGCUCGGCACCUUACGAGAAAUCAAAGUUUUUGGGUCUGGGG
rnacentral:rRNA from 1 species